UAGACGGAAGCCUGCUGGUUGAGGCGCUUAGCUGUUAACUAGGAUAUUGCGGGAUCGAGACCCGCCUGUCUAG
rnacentral:tRNA from 1 species